rnacentral:rRNA from 1 species
CCUACGGGAGGCAGCAGUGAGGAAUAUUGGUCAAUGGACGAGAGUCUGAACCAGCCAAGUAGCGUGAAGGAUGACUGCCCUAUGGGUUGUAAACUUCUUUUAUAAAGGAAUAAAACGAGGCACGUGGGCCGUUUUGCAUGUACUUUAUGAAUAAGGAUCGGCUAACUCCGUGCCAGCAGCCGCGGUAAUACGGAGGAGCCGAGCGUUAUCCGGAUGUAGUGGGGUUAAAGGGAGCGUAGAUGGGUUGUUCAGUCAGUUGUGAAAGUGUGCGGCUCAACCGUAAAAUUGCAAUUGAUACUGGCAGUCUUGAGUACAGUUGCGGUCGGCGUCAUUCGUGGUGUAGCCGU